rnacentral:sRNA from 1 species
UUUUUGCGUUAGGGAUUGAGCGGUUUGUCUGAGCUCUUUUGUUUUGAUAAAAACAAAAAGCGAGUAGCGAAAGCCCGACCCGUA